UCUCAGCUCCCUUUUUCCACAAUGCUCGUCCCUGGAUGGCAGCUCUGGGUGUCUUCCUCCUGCUUUCUGUGGUGUCAACUACCCUCAGUGCUUACUUCUUCCGAAGGAAAGUGGUGCAGUCCAGAGCACUGGGUGAGUCCUUCUGGCCCCUGCCACCAGCAAAGCCUCCCUCUGGGAGGGAUGUGGAUUUGCAUGUUUCUUGCUGUUUCUCUGGUCAUUGAUGUGUGUUGCUGGAGCCCAGAAGGGACCUAGAGAGCCCUGGGGUUGGGAACUGAGCCCAGGAGGUGUCCUGGGUCAUGGGAAGAAGCAGGGACCAGUACUGACUGAGCUUAAAUCAGGCUGAACCUUAAAUCUCUGCUGAAGUCAGGCGUAACUGCAGAGUGCGUGGAUGGUCUGGGGUGGGGAUCGGAGGGCAGGAUCCCCUGCUGUGAGCCAAGGGGCCUUUUCCCAUUUCCCAAAGAGAAGGAAUUUGGGCUCAGCCCGUACUCUGCCUGCUCACACCAUGGGGUGAGAAGCUGUCCCCUCUCAUCACUCAUUGAUUUUGUUGUUUGUUUUCCAGCAAAACGAGAUGCAGAACUGGGUGAGUCUCCUUGAGCUCCUUCUGGCUCAGUGUCCUCUCUUGGGUGCUCUGGGCUCGGCCACUUCCCCCCUUGCCUGUCCUCUCCAUCCCUGCAUCCCCUGGGUCCAUGGAAAACUCAGGGGCAGGUGCCUUGGGGGGUGGGUGGCUUGGUGACACCAGAGUAGAGAUGGACACUCUGCCCUCUCCAGAGUCUCUGGGGAGAGUUUGUGGGAAUUGAUCAGGCUGGAGGAAGCCAUCCUAGGGACCCAGGGAGUGUUUUCCCACUCCCCAAGAAAGGAGGAGUUUGGGGUUUCCCCAUCUCUGCUUACUCCUUCUUGAGUACUUUUGUGAUUAGAAGCUGUCCUCUCUGACCAAAUAUCGCUUUUGCUUUCCAGAGGAACAAGCUGCACUCUUGGGGAAACAAGAUGGAGAACUGAGUGAGUCUCUGUGAGCUCCCCUGGCUCAGUGUUGUAUCCCGGGUGCUCUGGGCUCGGCCCCUUUCCCUCCUGCCCCUCCCCUCCAUCCCUGCAGCCCCUGGGUCUGCUGGGCAAACCCUGAGGGGAGGUGCCUGGGAGGAUGGACAACUCAGGGACACCAGAGCAGAGAUGGUCCCUCUUCCCUCACCAGAGUUUCUGGGGAGAGUUUGUGGGACUUGCCCAGGUUGGAGGGAGCCAUUCAAAGGGUUUGGGGGGCUGUUCUCCCACUCUUAAAAGGAGGAGUUUUGCCUCUGCCCACUGUUGUAGUUGCAGGUGUGUGUUGAGAAGAUCUCCUCUCUCAUCACUCAUUGCUUCAAUUUUUCCUUUCCAGAGCAACGAAAUGCAGAACUGGGUGAGUCUCCAUGAGCUCUUCCUGACUUGAUGUCCUCUCCUGUGGGAUUUGUAUUCGGCCCCUUACCCUCCUGCCCAUCCUCUCCAUCCCUGCAUCCCCUGGGUAUGGGCAAAUUCCGAGGAGAGGUGCCUGGGGUGGGGUGGGUAACUCGGGGACACCAGACAAGGGAUGGACCCUCUCCCCUGCCCAGAGUCCCUGAGC